AGCUUCAUGGUGUAGUGGAAGCACGCCGGGGCUACAAACCCGGAGGUCCUUUGUUCAAAACGAAGUGAAGUUA